GCUGAGGCCCCCAGGUGGGACCGCGCCCUAUCAGGUAGUAGGUGGGGUAACGGCCCACCUAGCCUACGACGGGUACGGGCCCUGAGAGGGGGAGCCCGGAGAUGGGCACUGAGACAAGGGUCUAGGCCCUAAGGGGCGCAGCAGGCGCGAAGAUUCCGCAAUGCCCGAAAGGGCGACGGAGUGAACCCGAGUGCCACCCGCUGAGGGUGGCUGUUCCCCUGUGUAAAAAGCAGGGGGCAGGAAGGGGAGGGCAAGGCUGGUGGCAGCCGCCGCGGUAAAACCAGCUCCCCGAGGGGUUCCCACGCAUACUGGGCCUAAAGCGUCCGUAGCCGGCCCUGUAAGUCUGCAGUUAAAUCCGCCUGUAGACAGGCGGGUUGCUGCAGAUACUGCAGGGCUAGGGAGCGGGAGGAGCCGGGGGUAUUCCCGGGGGAGCGGUAAAAUGCGUAGAUCCCGGGAGGACCACCAGUGGCGAAGGCGCCCGGCUUGAACGCGUCCGACGGUGAGGGACGAAAGCUGGGGGAGCAAACCGGAUUAGAUACCCGGGUAGUCCCAGCCGUAAACGAUGCCGGCUAGGUGCUGGCCAAGGUUUCGGCCUUGGCCAGUGUCGAAGCGAAGGCAUUAAGCCGGCCGCCUGAGGAGUACGGCCGCAAGGCUGAAACUUGAAGGAAUUGACGGGGGGGCACCACAGGGGGUGAAUGCCUGCGGCUUAAUUGGACUCAACGCCGGGAAUCUUACCGGGGGCGACAGCAGGAUGAAGGUCAGGCUGAAGACCUUACCAGACGCGCUGAGGGGUGGUGCAUGGCCGUCGCCAGCUCGUGCCGUGAGGUGUCCUGUUAAGUCAGGCAACGAGCGAGACCCCCGCCCCUAGUUGCCAGCGGCCUCCUUCGGGAGGGACCGGGCAAACUAGGGGGACCGCCUCCGAAGAGGAGGAGGAAGGUGGGGGCUACGGCAGGUCAGUAUGCCCCUAAUCCCCCGGGCCGCACGCGGGCUGCAAUGGGCGGGACAGCGGGAUG
rnacentral:rRNA from 1 species